rnacentral:tRNA from 1 species
CUGGGUGUGGCGCAGCUGGUAGCGCGCUACCUUGGGGUGGUAGAGGCCGUGGGUUCAAGUCCCGUCACUCAGA